AUUGAACGCUGGCGGCAUGCCUUACACAUGCAAGUCGAACGGUAACGCGGGGCAACCUGGCGACGAGUGGCGAACGGGUGAGUAAUAUAUCGGAACGUGCCCAGUAGUGGGGGAUAGCCCGGCGAAAGCCGGAUUAAUACCGCAUACGACCUACGGGUGAAAGGGGGGGAUCGCAAGACCUCUCGCUAUUGGAGCGGCCGAUAUCAGAUUAGCUAGUUGGUAGGGUAAAAGCCUACCAAGGCAACGAUCUGUAGCUGGUCUGAGAGGACGACCAGCCACACUGGGACUGAGACACGGCCCAGACUCCUACGGGAGGCAGCAGUGGGGAAUUUUGGACAAUGGGCGCAAGCCUGAUCCAGCCAUGCCGCGUGUGGGAAGAAGGCCUUCGGGUUGCAAACCACUUUUGUCAGGGAAGAAACGCUCUGGAUUAAUACUCUGGGGUAAUGACGGUACCUGAAGAAUAAGCACCGGCUAACUACGUGCCAGCCGCCGCGGUAA
rnacentral:rRNA from 1 species